GGGCCGAAAGCGGGCCUCUGGGGUUCCGACGCGGCCUGGGGUGGGUAAGAGGCGAGGAGGAGUGCCUGCCGGGACCCCUUGCUCCACGGAGGGCUGGGAGUCGCAGGGAACGUCUCGGCCGCUCUGCAGGGCCAGCAGUUCCAACUGGAGGAGGCCUGCGCUGGAGUUGAAGCCUCCGAUCCACCCCCACCUGUUACAGGCCUUCCCACCCCAAGACGUUCCAGUCACUGGGUCCUGGGGGCGAGGCAAGACGCUCGGCAGUAGAACUGCGAAGGGUAAAAUCUUUCAGCCUGGGAUCUCCAACAGAAGAGACAGGGAGGGAAGUCGGUUGUUACUUCGCUAUUGUAAAAGUGCACUACCUGGGCAUGAAUUUGGGAGGAUAACCGCAACACUUCUCAAACCUGAAGACAGAGCCGCUUAGUUUGACCUAUGCUUCCGAAUCCUACAUCAACGGAAUGUCAGUUCUUCUCAGCACUUUCUAGAAAAUGCCAUUCGGACCACUCGGUUCUAAGAAGAGGGGCGUAAAGGGUCUUUGAAGCGUGGUGGCCAGGGUUGAAAUUGUGCCCCGAUCACUUCCUAAACGUGUGGCCUUGGUUAAGUCAUCUUUUGUAAACCUCAUCUUCCAUGUGGCAUAAUGAAGAUAAUAAAAAUAUCCACUU